GACGAACGCUGGCGGCGUGCUUAACACAUGCAAGUCGAACGGAAAGGCCUGCUUUCCCUUGUGGAUUGCGGGUACUCGAGUGGCGAACGGGUGAGUAACACGUGAGUGAUCUGCCCCCAACUUGGGUAUAAGCCUGGGAAACUGGGUCUAAUUCCCGAUAGGACUGCAGGGUGGUGCCUGUGGUGGAAAACGAUUUUCUAGUGGUUGGGGAUGAGCUCGCGGCCUAUCAGCUUGUUGGUGGGGUAAUGGCCUACCAAGGCGGCGACGGGUAGCCGGCCUGAGAGGGUGGACGGCCACAUUGGGACUGAGAUACGGCCCAGACUCGUACGAGAGGCAGCAGUGGGGAAUAUUGGACAAUGGGCGGAAGCCUGAUGCAGCGACGCCGCGUGGGGGAUGACGGCCUUCGGGUUGUAAACUCCUUUCGACCGAGAGGAAGCCACCUGGUUGGAAGGGUGGUGACGGUAGUGGUAGAAGAAGCACCGGCUAACUACGUG
rnacentral:rRNA from 1 species